UGGGGAAUAUUGCACAAUGGGCGCAAGCCUGAUGCAGCCAUGCCGCGUGUGUGAAGAAGGCCUUCGGGUUGUAAAGCACUUUCAGCGAGGAGGAAGGUGGUGAACUUAAUACGUUCAUCAAUUGACGUUACUCGCAGAAGAAGCACCGGCUAACUCCGUGCCAGCAGCCGCGGUAAUACGGAGGGUGCAAGCGUUAAUCGGAAUUACUGGGCGUAAAGCGCACGCAGGCGGUUUGUUAAGUCAGAUGUGAAAUCCCCGGGCUCAACCUGGGAACUGCAUUUGAAACUGGCAAGCUAGAGUCUCGUAGAGGGGGUAGAAUUCCAGGUGUAGCGGUGAAAUGCGUAGAGAUCUGGAGGAAUACCGGUGGCGAAGGCGGCCCCCUGGACGAAGACUGACGCUCAGGUGCGAAAGCGUGGGGAGCAAACAGAUUAGAUACCCUGGUAGUCCACGCUGUAAACGAUGUCGAUUUUGGAGGUUGUGCCCUGAGGCGUGGNUUCCGGAGCUAACGCGUUAAAUCGACCGCCUGGGGAGUACGGCCNCAAGGUUAAAACUUAAAGGAAUUGCGGGUCU
rnacentral:rRNA from 1 species